rnacentral:rRNA from 1 species
CGGCGAGUGAAGCGGCAACAGCUCAAAUUUGAAAUCUGGCUUCGGCCCGAGUUGUAAUUUGCAGAGGAUGCUUCUGGCGCGGUGCCUUCCGAGUUCCCUGGAACGGGACGCCACAGAGGGUGAGAGCCCCGUAUGGUCGGACACCAAGCCUGUGUGAAGCUCCUUCGACGAGUCGAGUAGUUUGGGAAUGCUGCUCUAAAUGGGAGGUAAAUCUCUUCUAAAGCUAAAUACCGGCCAGAGACCGAUAGCGCACAAGUAGAGUGAUCGAAAGAUGAAAAGCACCUUGAAAAGGGGGUUAAAUAGUACGUGAAAUUGUUGAAAGGGAAGCACUUAUGACCAGACUUGGGCCGGGCGGCUCAUCAGGGGUUCUCCCCUGUGCACUCCGCCCGGCACAGGCCAGCAUCGGUUCUCGUGGGGGGAUAAGACCGUCAGGAACGUAGCACCCUCCGGGGUGUGUUAUAGCCUGGCGGACGAUACCCCCGUGGGGACCGAGGUCCGCGCAAGGAUGCUGGCGUAAUGGUCAUCAGUGACCCGUCUUGAAACACGGACCAAGGAGUCGUCCAUUAGAGCGAGCGUUUGGGUGUAAAACCCGCACGCGUAAUGAAAGUGAACGCAGGUGAGAGCUUCGGCGCAUCAUCGACCGAUCCUGAUGUUCUCGGAAGGAUUUGAGUAAGAGUUUUAACGGACGGACCCGAAAGACAGUGAACUAUGCUUGUAUAGGGUGAAGCCAGAGGAAACUCUGGUGGAGGCUCGCAGCGGUUCUGACGUGCAAAUCGAUCGUCAAAUAUGAGCAUGGGGGCGAAAG